GCACUUCAUAAAUCUAUGCGCGACUUCCGCUCGGUCUCUCAGUCUACCAGAACCAUGGCGCGUGGACCGGUGCAGAAAUGCUUGUCAGCUAAGAGCUGCAGUGUCUCCUGAUGAGUAAGUGCUGUGUCACGUAGUGGACACUAUGGGAUAGAGCUACCAACGGGAGUCCUGCCUUGCCUUUGGGACUAAUGGCAGAGCCUCUUGCAGCUGCUCAGCGUGGGGCUGACUGUCAUGCUGCAGGCUGACUGAGGGAGCAUGUGGAGCAGCUGGCCUGCAGGGAGAGCAAACUUCUGGAAAAAAAGAAGUGAGACUGAACCAGUGUGGUCGGUGUAAUCUGCCGGGCUGGUCUGGAUAAGUGGAUAUGUUCCUGUCUCAGUCCGCCUGCUGGGAUGUGACUGGGCUGCGGACAGCCAUCAGUACACCCCUACGGUGUAACCAUGUCUGCAAAACUUGGUUUAGGCUGGAAACAAGUUUAUAAAUUAUGAAGGCAUCACCUACAUUAAACAUCUACAGAAAAUAAGUUGACCAGUUUUUCUAGAAUAUAAAAUCUGUGGUCUGAACUAAGUACAUCUGAAAUCAUGUGCAUAUGUUUGAAUAAAGUUUAAUUGUGCAUUA